rnacentral:rRNA from 1 species
GAUGAACGCUGGCGGCGUGCCUAAUACAUGCAAGUCGAGCGAACGGACGAGAAGCUUGCUUCUCUGAUGUUAGCGGCGGACGGGUGAGUAACACGUGGAUAACCUACCUAUAAGACUGGGAUAACUUCGGGAAACCGGAGCUAAUACCGGAUAAUAUUUUGAACCGCAUGGUUCAAAAGUGAAAGACGGUCUUGCUGUCACUUAUAGAUCGAUCCGCGCUGCAUUAGCUAGUUGGUAAGGUAACGGCUUACCAAGGCAACGAUGCAUAGCCGACCGGAGAGGGUGGUCGGCCACAUGGGAAGUGAGCCACGGUCCAGACUCCUACGGGAGGCAGCAGUAGGGAAUCGUCCGCAAUAGGCGGAAGCAUGACGGAGCAAGGCCGCGCGAGUGACGACGACCUUGCGAUAGUAAAACUCUGUUAUGAGGGAAGAACAUAUGUGUACGUAAAUGUGCACAUAUUGACGGUACCUAAUCAGAAAGCAACGGCUAACUACGUG